GACGAACGCUGGCGGCGUGCUUAACACAUGCAAGUCGAACGGUGAAGCGCCUUCCUUUUUGGUGGGUGUGGAUGAGUGGCGAACGGGUGAGUAACACGUGAGUAACCUGCCCCCUUCUCCUGGAUAACCGCAUGAAAGUGUGGCUAAUACGGGAUAUUCUGGUUCUGUCGCAUGAUGGGUCUGGGAAAGAUAUUGUUUCGGUGGGGGAUGGGCUCGCGGCCUAUCAGCUUGUUGGUGGGGUGAUGGCCUACCAGGGCGGUGACGGGUAGCCGGCCUGGGAGGGUAGACGGCAAGAGUGGGACUGAGACACGGCCCAGACUCCUACGGGGGGCAGCAGUGGGGAGUAGUGAACAAUGGGCGAAAGCGUGAUGCGGCGGCGCGGCGGGAGGGAUGGAGGCCUUCGGGUUGUGAACCUCUUUCGCCAGUGAAGCAGGCCUGCCUCGUUUGUGGGUGGGUUGACGGUAGCUGGAUAAGAAGCGCCGGCUAACUACGUG
rnacentral:rRNA from 1 species